GGGCCGGGGCCGUGCGGGGCGGGGCCGGGCGCCAUGUGCCGUGUGCCAUGUGCUGGGCCUCACACCCGGCCGCGCGCCUCGCGGCACGGCGGCAUCGCGCCCCGUCAGCCGCGUUGGGCGGGCCCGGCCGGCACCGCCGCCUCGGGCUCGUAGAGGGAGGCGGGCGCAAGUCGUAAGCGGCAUCGCCUCAGCGCUGCGCUGCGAGCGGGCCCCGCUCAAAUGGCCAAGAUACAGAGGAGUCAGAGACGGCUGAAUGGGAGCUAGAGCACAGCAGAUAGCAAAUCUCAGAUGCAGUUUAACUGAGUAUUAGGACAAGAGCAGUAAUUCCUGAAUCAUAGAAUGGUUUGAAUUGGAAGGGACCUUUAAAGGCCAUCUAUCCCAGCUCACCCGCAAUGAAGAGGGACACCUGCAGCUCCAUCAGGUGCUCAGAGCCCCUCCAGCCUGACCUUGGGUGUCUCCAGGGACGGGGUAUCCACAUCUCUGGGGAACCUGUGCCUGUUCCUCACUACCCUUAUA